rnacentral:rRNA from 1 species
CUGGUGUACCAGUUGUCGUGCCAACGGCAUAGCUGGGUAGCUAUGUAUGGACGGGAUAAGUGCUGAAAGCAUCUAAGCAUGAAGCCCCCCUCGAGAUGAGAUUUCCCAACUUCGGUUAUAAGAUCCCUCAAAGAUGAUGAGGUAAAUAGGUUCGAGGUGGAAGCGUAGCGAUACGUGGAGCUGACGAAUACUAAUCGAUCGAAGACUUAAUCAACAU